GUAAGUGAUUUCUGGUGCAUUCAGGGCACUUCGAAAUGACAAGGACCGCCCCCAUGGCUACUUUGUUUUUCCGACAGCAAGUGUUCAUGUGCUUUGCCGUCGGAAUGUGUGACAAACACGGAUGCCACAACAAAGGUUAAAACAUACACUCACUAAUCCUUA